rnacentral:rRNA from 1 species
AUUGAACGCUGGCGGCAGGCCUAACACAUGCAAGUCGAGCGGAUGAGUGGAGCUUGCUCCAUGAUUCAGCGGCGGACGGGUGAGUAAUGCCUAGGAAUCUGCCUAUUAGUGGGGGACAACGUUUCGAAAGGAGCGCUAAUACCGCAUACGUCCUACGGGAGAAAGCAGGGGACCUUCGGGCCUUGCGCUAAUAGAUGAGCAUAGGUCGGAUUAGCUAGUUGGUGAGGUAAUGGCUCACCAAGGCGACGAUCCGUAACUGGUCUGAGAGGAUGAUCAGUCACACUGAAACUGAGACACGGUCCAGACUCCUACGGGAGGCAACAGUGGGGAAUAUUGGACAAUGGGCGAAAGCCUGAUCCAGCCAUGCCGCGUGUGUGAAGAAGGUCUUCGGAUUGUAAAGCACUUUAAGUUGGGAGGAAGGGUUGUACGUUAAUACCGUGCAAUUUUGACGUUACCGACAGAAUAAGCACCGGCUAACUCUGUGCCAGCAGCCGCCGUAA